AACGAACGCUGGCGGCAUGCCUAACACAUGCGAGUCGAACGAGACCUUCGGGUCUAGUGGCGCACGGGUGCGUAACGCGUGGGAACCUGCCCUUAGGUUCGGAAUAACUCCCCGAAAGGGGUGCUAAUACCGGAUAAUGUCUUCGGACCAAAGAUUUAUCGCCUUUGGAUGGGCCCGCGUUGGAUUAGCUAGUUGGUAGGGUAAAAGCCUACCAAGGCGACGAUCCAUAGCUGGUCUGAGAGGAUGAUCAGCCACACUGGGACUGAGACACGGCCCAGACUCCUACGGGAGGCAGCAGUGGGGAAUAUUGGACAAUGGGCGAAAGCCUGAUCCAGCAAUGCCGCGUGAGUGAUGAAGGCCUUAGGGUUGUAAAGCUCUUUUACCCGGGAUGAUAAUGGCAGUACCGGGAGAAUAAGCUCCGGCUAACUCCGUG
rnacentral:rRNA from 1 species